rnacentral:lncRNA from 13 species
GACGCACGUGAAGCACGGGGCACUGGCGAGCCUUCUGCAAACGCCCAAAUGCUUCCUGCUCUCCCCUCUGCACACACACAGCAUGGGCAGAAAGUUAAACAGAGAACGUCGUGGAGAAGAACAGAAAGGGAGAGACACAGGGAGGCAGAGACACAGAGAGAGAUGGACUCAGAGACAGAGAGUCAGAGACACAGAGAGAGACAGAGACUGAGAGAGAGACAGACUCCGAGACAGAAAGUCAGAGACACAGAGAGAGGCAGAGACUCAGAGAGAGACAGACUCAGAGACAGAGAGUCAGAGACACAGAGAGAGACAGAGAUGCAGAGAGAGACAGAUUCAGAGACAGAGUCAGAGACACAGAGAGAGACAGACUCAGAGACAGAGUCAGAGACACAGAGAGAGUCAGAGACACAGAGACAGACUCAGAGACAGAGACUCAGAGAUGCAGAGAGAGACAGACUUAGAGACAGAGUCAGAGACACAGAAAAAGACAGACUCAGAGACAGAGAGUCAGAGACACAGAGAGAGACAGAGACUCAGAGAGAGACAGACUCAGAGACAGAGUCAGAGACACAGAGACAGACUCAGAGACACAGUCAGAGACACAGAGAGAAACAGACUCAGAGACAGAGUCAGAGACACAGAGAGAGACAGAGAUGCAGAAGGAGACAGACUCAGAGACAGAGAGUCAGAGACACAGAGACAGACUCAGAGACACAGUCAGAGACACAGAGAGAAACAGACUCAGAGACAGAGUCAGACACAGAGAGAGACAGAGAUGCAGAGAGAGACAGACUCAGAGACAGAGAGUCAGAGACAAGAGACAGAGACACAGAGAGACUCAGAGACGCAGAGAAAGAGAGACAGAGACACAAAUGCAAAGAGAAACAGAGACAGACACAGAGACAGACAAGGAUAGAGAAAGGGUGGAGGAGGGAGAGAGGGAGCAAGAGAGUAACUCCCAGAGGAUUAAACACAACAGAGAGAAUUGGUGAACCGGAAAAAAAAGACGACGAGAAUGCAGCACAG